rnacentral:sRNA from 1 species
UUUUAACUAUGAUUUAGGUAUAGUUUUUAGAGUCCUUUUGUUAUUUGUAGAGUCUUUUCUACUCUUUUUCAGGUCUUUACAUGUUUGGGAUGCAUUUGGAGAUUAUGGAGCAUUCUGGAGCAACACAGACAACUUAAGCUGCAUAAGCAAUUCGGAGACGGAAAUUGACGUAGGUGUCGAUCGACACAACCCCUGGUGUCGAGCGACACCAAUACCUGACGGCAAUUCAAUUGCGCAACUUAUUCGUGUUUUGAAGAUUUCCAAAUUCGGCUCAGAACUCUCUCUUAUAUCCA